GAUUAACGCUAGCGGCAGGCAUAAUACAUGCAAGUUGAACGAGAUUAGUUUUAGCAAUAGAACUAGUUUAGUGGCGCACGGGUGCGUAACGCGUAUGCAACCUACCUUAAACAGGGGAAUAGCCUCUCGAAAGAGAGAUUAAUACCGCAUAAUAUAUAUUUAAUGCAUAUUAGAUAUAUUAAACCUACGGGGGGUUUAAGAUGGGCAUGCGUGACAUUAGCUAGUUGGUGAGGUAACGGCUCACCAAGGCAACGAUGUCUAGGGGGUCUGAGAGGAUGUCCCCCACACUGGUACUGAGACACGGACCAGACUCCUACGGGAGGCAGCAGUAGGGAAUAUUGGUCAAUGGGGGCAACCCUGAACCAGCCAUGCCGCGUGCAGGAAUAAGGCCCUAUGGGUCGUAAACUGCUUUUGAACGGGAAGAAAUCUAUUUACGUGUAAAUAGUUGACGGUACCGUUAGAAUAAGGAUCGGCUAACUUCGUGCCAGCAGCCGCGGUAAU
rnacentral:rRNA from 1 species